rnacentral:pre_miRNA from 1 species
UCUGGCCAGCCGAAUCCACUUGCGAGGAGGCGAGAGUCGCUAGAUCCGGCGUCCUUCGCCUCGUCGUUAGCUAAUAUGGCGGCAACGC